rnacentral:rRNA from 1 species
GACGAACGCUGGCGGCGUGCCUAAUACAUGCAAGUAGAACGCUGAAGAGAGGAGCUUGCUCUUCUUGGAUGAGUUGCGAACGGGUGAGUAACGCGUAGGUAACCUGCCUGGUAGCGGGGGAUAACUAUUGGAAACGAUAGCUAAUACCGCAUAAAAUUGAUUAUUGCAUGAUAAUUAAUUGAAAGAUGCAAUUGCAUCACUACCAGAUGGACCUGCGUUGUAUUAGCUAGUUGGUGAGGUAACGGCUCACCAAGGCGACGAUACAUAGCCGACCUGAGAGGGUGAUCGGCCACACUGGGACUGAGACACGGCCCAGACUCCUACGGGAGGCAGCAGUAGGGAAUCUUCGGCAAUGGGGGGAACCCUGACCGAGCAACGCCGCGUGAGUGAAGAAGGUUUUCGGAUCGUAAAGCUCUGUUGUAAGAGAAGAACGGGUGUGAGAGUGG